UAUACAAGGUGCUGCAUGGUUGUCGUCAGCUCGUGCCGUGAGGUGUCGGGUUAAGUCCCAUAACGAGCGCAACCCUAUCAUUAGUUGCCAUCAGGUCAAGCUGGGGACUCUAAUGAAACUGCCUACGCAAGUAGUGAGGAAGGUGGGGAUGAACGUCAAAUCAGCACGGCCCUUACGGUCCAGGGCUACACACGUGCUACAAUGGCCGGUACAAAGGGCAGCUACCUGGUGACAGGAUGCUAAUCUCCAAAGUCGGUCUCAGUUCGGAUCGGAGUCUGCAACCCGACCCCGUGAAGUUGGAUUCGCUAGUAAUCGCGCAUCAGCCAUGGCGCGGUGAAUACGUUCCCGGGCCUU
rnacentral:rRNA from 1 species